UAGGGAAUCUUCCGCAAUGGGCGAAAGCCUGACGGAGCAACGCCGCGUGAGUGAUGAAGGUCUUCGGAUCGUAAAACUCUGUUAUUAGGGAAGAACAAAUGUGUAAAUAACUAUGCACGUCUUGACGGUACCUAAUCAGAAAGCCACGGCUAACUACGUGCCAGCAGCCGCGGUAAUACGUAGGUGGCAAGCGUUAUCCGGAAUUAUUGGGCGUAAAGCGCGCGUAGGCGGUUUUUUAAGUCUGAUGUGAAAGCCCACGGCUCAACCGUGGAGGGUCAUUGGAAACUGGAAAACUUGAGUGCAGAAGAGGAAAGUGGAAUUCCAUGUGUAGCGGUGAAAUGCGCAGAGAUAUGGAGGAACACCAGUGGCGAAGGCGACUUUCUGGUCUGUAACUGACGCUGAUGUGCGAAAGCGUGGGGAUCAAACAGG
rnacentral:rRNA from 1 species